GGAGAAGUCGCUUAGCUGGUCGAGGGCGCACGACUGGAAAUCGUGUAGGCGUUAAUAGCGCCUCGUGGGUUCGAAUCCCACCUUCUCCGCCA
rnacentral:tRNA from 1 species